rnacentral:rRNA from 1 species
GAUGAACGCUAGCUACAGGCUUAACACAUGCAAGUCGAGGGGCAGCAUGAACUUAGCUUGCUAAGCUUGAUGGCGACCGGCGCACGGGUGAGUAACACGUAUCCAACCUGCCGAUGACUCGGGGAUAGCCUUUCGAAAGAAAGAUUAAUACCCGAUGGCAUAGUUCUUCCGCAUGGUAGAACUAUUAAAGAAUUUCGGUCAUCGAUGGGGAUGCGUUCCAUUAGGUUGUUGGCGGGGUAACGGCCCACCAAGCCUUCGAUGGAUAGGGGUUCUGAGAGGAAGGUCCCCCACAUUGGAACUGAGACACGGUCCAAACUCCUACGGGAGGCAGCAGUGAGGAAUAUUGGUCAAUGGACGAGAGUCUGAACCAGCCAAGUAGCGUGAAGGAUGACUGCCCUAUGGGUUGUAAACUUCUUUUAUACGGGAAUAAAGUGAGGCACGGGUGCCUUUUUGUAUGUACCGUAUGAAUAAGGAUCGGCUAACUCCGUG